UACGUAGGUGGCGAGCGUUGUCCGGAAUCACUGGGCGUAAAGGGCGCGUAGGCGGUCUAUUAAGUCAGUUGUGAAAUAUCCGGGCUCAACCUGGAGGGUGCGACUGAUACUGGAAGACUUGAGUGCAGGAGAGGGCAGUGGAAUUCCUAGUGUAGCGGUGAAAUGCGUAGAUAUUAGGAGGAACACCAGUGGCGAAGGCGGCUGUCUGGACUGUAACUGACGCUGAGGCGCGAAAGCGUGGGGAG
rnacentral:rRNA from 1 species